rnacentral:rRNA from 1 species
GCACAAGCGGUGGAGCAUGUGGUUUAAUUCGAUGCAACGCGAAGAACCUUACCUGGCCUUGACAUCUGUCGAAUCUUGCAGAGAUGCAGGAGUGCCUUCGGGAACGACAAGACAGGUGCUGCAUGGCUGUCGUCAGCUCGUGUCGUGAGAUGUUGGGUUAAGUCCCGCAACGAGCGCAACCCUUAUCUUCAGUUGCUACCAUUUAGUUGAGCACUCUGACGAAACCGCCUCGGAUAACGGGGAGGAAGGUGGGGAUGACGUCAAGUCCUCAUGGCCUUUAUGUCCAGGGCUACACACGUGCUACAAUGGCCGGUACAAACCGCUGCAAACCCGCGAGGGGGAGCUAAUCGGAAAAAGCCGGCCUCAGUUCGGAUUGGAGUCUGCAACUCGACUCCAUGAAGCUGGAAUCGCUAGUAAUCGUGGAUCAGCAUGCCACGGUGAAUACGUUCCCGGGC